rnacentral:sRNA from 1 species
UCUCGAGAUUGCCUCUGGCGCGAGUGAAGGCCUUGGUGAAGGCAGAUCCCGACGUGACGCUAGCGGGACAGGAAGCCAUCUUCAUUCUGGCACGAGCCGCGGAACUGUUUGUGGAGACCAUUGCAAAAGAUGCCUACUGUUGCGCUCAGCAGGGAAAAAGGAAAACCCUUCAGAGGAGAGACUUGGCAACUGUGGAUUUGAUUUCUGACUCUUGUCUGGCUGGUAACUCUCACCUGUAUAAUGCAAUAGAAGCUGUGGAUGAAUUUGCUUUUCUGGAAGGUACUUUAGAUUGAUUGCCGAGCGGGGCAGUUUUGUGAGCCUUCAUCUGAAGCCUUCAGUUCACCCCUCUGCACAGGCCUCAGCUUUGAAGAACGGAGUCUUUGCACUUACACACACUCUUCCUGUUCUGCCUUCACCUAUGCCGGGAUAAGCAGAGAUCUCAUCAAUUAGCUCUUCUCUGCAAGGUCUUCCACUAUUUCUGUCUGUCUUCCAUAUCAAGCCUGGAUGCAGCUGCUGCUGCUUAGAGCAGAGAUGAAGAAAGUGUUCUGCAUAAGUGGCUUCCUGAAUGAUGAGGACCAGAAUAAAGGUUUUUGAUCAACCUC